UCGGGAAUUUUGGGCAAUGGGCGAAAGCCUGACCCAGCAACGCCGCGUGAGGGAUGAAGUAUUUCGGUAUGUAAACCUCGAAAGAAUGGGAAGAAUAAAUGACGGUACCAUUUAUAAGCUCCGGCUAACUACGUGCCAGCAGCCGCGGUAAUGCGUAGGGAGCAAGCGUUGUUCGGAUUUACUGGGCGUAAAGGGCGCGUAGGCGGCGCGGUAAGUCACUUGUGAAAUCUCUGAGCUUAACUCAGAACGGCCAAGUGAUACUGCUGUGCUAGAGUGCGGAAGAGGCAACCGGAAUUCUUGGUGUAGCGGUGAAAUGCGUAGAUAUCAAGAGGAACACCUGAGGCGAAGGCGGGUUGCUGGGCCGACACUGACGCUGAUGCGCGAAAGCCAGGGGAGCAAACG
rnacentral:rRNA from 1 species